CUGUUUCUAAAAAUAAUGCAGUUUGCAAAAAACAGAAGGUUUGGUUUAUAACACAAACAAAAUUGUUACAUUCUGAAUGGGUUGUAAGUACCUGAUUCUUUGCCUUUUUACUCAUCCCUGCAAAAAAAAAAAAAAAAAUCUGCAAAUCCAUUUGCUAACCAGCUGUACCUCUGUGCGAAAUAGAUAACAACCUGGGCGAGCCAGGGUUUGCUGUGAAUCGGUGCUGAUAGGCCUGAAUCUCAUAGCUUUUUUUAAAUGCUAAUGACAAGAAACAUUUCCGAAGCCAAAACGCUCUUGUAGAUCUGUCUUCCUCUAUUAUGACUGAUAUUUGCUUGUAAGUACAUAGAACACUUGUUCCCCGUCCCUUAUCUGCGGCGCUGCAGCAUGCUGACCUACAUACCAUUCAGCACAAUAUGAUGCACAAACAUCUUCUAUAUAAUUUUUCAUUUUCGACUUAAAAACAGUAGAGGCAAAAUAGGAUUGCUGCAAAUCUAACAAAGAGAUGGCAUUAUUUCCAAAUAAAAAUGUGCAUUUUUCCAAAGAAUUUAUUUGUCUAGCAGCAUGAAGUUCAGACAUAGCAAUGCUGGGGAAAGGGUGUUAAAUUACGAUUAGGAAGGAAGGACUUAGGGAGGGAAACAAAACCCAUCUUUUCUACUCCCUGAGCAUAAUUAAGCUAACUUCUUUCUCACCACAAUUAAAAGUUCAGCUUUUCUGAACCGUGUUUUUGCAGUGUCACGAAAUGCAGCAGAUCGAAUAAUGCUGAAAUACAUACAAUAUUAACAAAGGAAGAAGGGAAGAACGUGACAGGGAGAGCUAUGGAAAGGGAAGAAAUCAUCUAUUCUCACACCUGCCAUUGUCGGAACACUCCAAACCAAGUUGUUUAUCUUUAUAAUUUCUUGCUGCUAUGGCUGCCAUGUUGAAAUGAUACUUGGGUUUCCAGCAAAACUGUUCAUAGCUGCAAGUGGAGUCCUUAAGCUGGAGGUUAUCUGAUGACCUAGCCUCUAUAAUGCUCUGCCAGACCAUUGUAAUUGCAAAUACAGUUGAGCCACGGAAAAAGGACUGUUUUUCUAGGACAGCACACAAAAGAGAUCAGCGAAGGUGCCAACAAGGUCAAAGGGCAAAGAGGGUGAAACCCCUCAUUAACUGGGAACACGGCUGGAAAUCUCCACUCUCACACUGCCUUCCCUCUGCCACUGAAGAGGUGGUUUACAAGUGCACCUCGGUUUAAUUUUUAAUGAUAAGCUGUCUUUGUUUUCCAAGUUUGAUGCGUCUGAAACAACUGGAAAAUCCCCAAGUAAGAUUAAAAGGACUUGAGUUGUGGCCCAAAUGACCUCUUUCCUUGCACGCUAAGUAAUUUGCUUCCUAAUUGUUUUGAGGGGACUUGAGUAAGAGGGCCGCAACAAAUACUUUUGCCACCAUUGUUGGAUGUUGACAAUAGGUUUUAAGCAUGAUUCACCUCUCUGAAUCAUUAUUUCAUAGUGCUCUACAAGGAGAGCAACCUUUUGCAAAGAGGUAGCAGUUAUCUGAAUUUCACCAGCUAGAAGCCUCUUUUCCAAAAAGCCAAGUCAAAGAUAAAAUGAAUUUUCACACUUUUUGCAGUUUUGCAGUUAUUCUGCUUUAAUUGUUUGCACCAGCCAAAUCUACCCAUCAGCUGCCAGACCCCCGCUUAUUUGUGAGCAGUGUUAACCCAGGAUUUCACAAUUUCUGCGUGAUGUGGGGAACAGAACAUUCUGCCGAGAGUCUGGAGACCCAGUGUUUUUAUCCUGGCUCUGCCACAAACUAGCUGUGUGACUUUGAGCAAGUCACUUGACCUCUCUGAACCUGUUUAUCUGGAGUUUGGCGUAGUUAAAUGAUAAGAGCUCUUCUGGCUGUGACAUUUGACAACUGGCUCCCCAUAUAUCCUUUUCAUUUGGGACCACUUAUCUCACCACUGUUGGCUCGUGUUAACUGCUAAAUACCAUAGAACCAUUUUCUAAGUGCUUAUUUCAGAUGAUACUGAAAGCUCUAGGAAAACCUUGUCUUUCGGCAUUACCAUAGAUAUGCUUAAGUGAUAACCAGCCCCCACUUUACUAUCCAUUGCUAAUGGCAACGCGUUACACUCCCACACGAGCACCCUAGGUCUAACUUAUUAAUGGUCUAUGCUAAUGCAAUUUCCAGAAAGUAUGUUGUUAUUAAAUUUUCUGGAAUUUCAACACAGCAAAACAACAUAUAACUGCUUGAUAAAUUACUUUGAAUAGAUUUAGUAAUUUGUGUAAGGGUGGCUCUCAUUUAUGUAAGAAGCCUAAAUCCAUUUAAAGUUAAUUUCUAAUUUUCUUAUAUUUAUGUCAUUCAGAAAUACACUGCUGGUCCAGGAGCAAUCUCUCCAAAACCCAAGUGAACUAUUAAUUUUAUUUGGGUUAAAGCAUAAAAUGUUAACAGUGUACAGAAUCCACAAUUUGCCAGUUACUCUUCACAACUCCUUCCAAAUAUCGUCUAUGAACUUUUUUCUCACAGAGAUUUUGUAUAGCAUCUCUGUUUUUUAUCUUAAAUUCGAGGCAAAAGAUAAAUGGGUUUAUUAAAUGAAAGUUCCUAGCAAAUAUCAAAUUAACAUAAAAAUUUUCAUGGACUAAGCAAUCUGUGUUUUAUACUGCUUUCAAUGAUUUGGAUGAAAAUAUAGUCAAAAAUUCUGGGUCUCCUUCCUUAAGAUUCUAUUUAUAAAAUACACCCAAAUGAAGAUUCUACUUCCUCAUUGUCAUGUUACUUAAAAAUAAUCACCUUGUCGUUGAAUUCUGUCUGAACUAUGCUAGGCACCAUAGGUAGGGCCAUUUAUACAGUCAUAACUGCUGCCCAUAAAAAACAGGGGGUUGACAGUAAGAUGGAUAAACCCACACCGAACACAUAGAUUAUGAACUAUAAGCAUCGAAUAUUAUUCCUACAAGAAAUGUAAAAGGUGUUGAAUUUUAACUGCUGUGCUCUGGUAGCAUCUAUGCUUUAGUCUUCAGCAGAGAGUUAGUUACACAUGCACACACUCACAUACACUUACACACACACACACACACACAAAUACACAUCAAGGAUAGCAAUAGAGGUCAGUGAUUUAAAACUGACGCAAAGGCAAAUUGAUAUUUCUGUGAGGGGACAAUGUCUUACAGAAUUUGGAAGUCUGUAAAGAAGUUGGAAAGCAGGAGUUCCCGUCAUGGUGCAGCAGAAACGAAUCUGACUAGGAACCAUGAGGUUGCAGGUUCAAUCCCUGGCCUCGCUCAGUGGGUUAAGGAUCCAACCUUGCCAUGAGCUGUGGUGUAGGUCGAAGACGUGGCUCGGAUCUGGCGUUGCUAUGGCUGUGGUGUAGGCCAGCAGCAACAGCUCUGAUUAGACCCCUAGCCUGGGAACUUCCAUAUGCCACAGGUGCAGCCCUAAAAAGACAAAAGACAAAGAAAAAAAAAGAAUUUAAAGUUGGAAAGCAAUUCAAUAUAAUUCAUGAGAGAAAUAAAAUGCUCAGAAAAGAAAUCACUCUAAUUCCUAAAGCACAUUCAUGGUAAAAUUUGCAAACCAAGUGCAAUGAAUAAGCUGUUACAUUUUUAAUAAAAUAUCUUACAUCUGAUUUUUAAAAUCAAAGAGAAAUUAAGGAGGUACUACCUUAACUGUUUUCUCAUGUUACAACUUGAAAUAUUUCAAAAAAGUUUUUGUAGUAAACACAUGAUGUAUUGCAUUUAACUUUGAAGAUGCAACUAAUCUGGUAACUCUAGAUUAUCUGAUAGUAAAUGAUCCAAAUCACUGUCAGGCUUAAUAUUCAACUUGGACAUCUACUUCUGAGCAAAACUGGCCAUUUUGAGUUUAGCGGAGAGGUAACUAAGAAGGGUCAUGCUCCAAGCAAGUGAUCACACAUCCCAUUUACUCAGAGCAUCCCAGUUUACUCGUGUGAUCCCAGCAUAAUGAUUAAUAGCUGCCACUCACACUUUCAAACAGCUUUCAAACAGGCCAUGGUUAGGGAUGAUUAAUUACGCAGGUCCCCUAACCAUAAUACAAUCUAUGAUACACACUCCAAGCCCUGCUACAGUAGAACAAACUCCAGUCCUGACCCGGCACUAGAAAUGUGGCAGUCUGUUGGAAUUUAUCAUCCUCCUCCCCCAUGAAAUGGACACAUUCUUUAAAGACAACAGCUGAACAAGCUACCCUGUCUGAUUCAUGGAUGUGACUUGUAGGCAUAUGUCCUGUCGAACCCUAAACUUUUCUCUGCUAGAGCCCACUGAAUUCACCAAAAAUUCCCAGGAUGAGCUGCGCUCUAUUGGAUUCUGCACAAAACCUGACUGUUAAGACUACUUAAGAGUAGAAAAUGUAUCUUAUGCCCCUUGAUGUCUUCCAAUGCCUUUAGCAUUCAGCCCGCUUGUAAGAACCACUCAAUAAACGUUUGUUGAAACGCCUGAAACAUUUGGUCAAAACACCUGGAUGAAUGGCCUAAUUCUUUACUUUCUUUCCAGCUAUUUAUCAUUAUGUAGAUCCAAAGAAAUCCAGAAAACAGACAAAUGCCAGGCCUGAGCAUGUCCGUGGGGAGAAGUGCCCAGGUGCACAUGAAAGGAAGUAACAUCCAUACUUAAACCUUUGCUUCCCUCCUGGUAACUUCUCAAUCUAUCUUCAUGUUCUUUUCUAAAGGCAACUAAUUGGCCACAUUCUACGACCUAGAUAUUCUAGAGGUAGGAGCCAGGUCUUUCCCAACGAACCCAUCAACAAAACAGUUGUUUCCACCUGAAUCUCCUGGACAAUAAAGUCAGGGUUCAAAACAGAGCCUUGCUAAAUAAAUAUCAGUACUUGCUGUUCCCUUGUACAGUAUUUCUGGAAGUCAUGGAGAGAACAGCCAAAGAGAUGGGAGAAUACAGAGGAAAUAACAAAAGAUGUAUAAAAGAAUUUUUUGCUCAUUCCAACUUUAGAAAAAAGUUGAAGUCUGUCAAGUUAUCAGCAGGAAUUGCAGUAUGUGAAUCAACCCUUAGAAAUUGUGCUUCACUGUUUUGCCCUCAGUUUUCACAUUCACAAAUUUUAAUUCAUGAUUUUUCAAAUCACAUCUUUAGCACAUUUGUGAUUUUUUUUCUUUUUCGGAUCACCCAAGCAGACUAAAUAAAUGCAAUGACUGUGCCUAAUAGCUUUUAUGAACCUACCACAUGGGAAAGAGUCAGAACUGUCAUAUAAUUUGGCAUCAUCUGGUAAGGAAAAGAGUUUCUACAGCAUCCAUCUAUCUUUGAAAAACAACAAAAAAGCAAAGUAGAUUCAAGCUGGAAAGAAGGGAUAGAAAGAAUGGGGCCCUGGAUACCAGACUCCACUCUCACAUGAUGUGUUCUUUGGGAAGGUUUGAGUCUGGGAGUUUUCUGCUUUCAUCGGACAACAUAAAAGUUGUUUCAGCAAGAAGCAGGGAACAAAGGAAGACUUUCAUUUACAAAAACAAGUAUUACAGCACAGUGUCUGUUAGGAACUUUUAUUUAUGCUGCACCUGGCAUUAUUUUUAAC
rnacentral:lncRNA from 1 species